AUGAAGAAGGAUCAGGAAAAAUUUGGUGGCUUAGUUGGAAGGAACCCAGGAUUGUCAAAAGAUUUCAAUGAUAUAGUUGACUUUAGCUUCACUCCGCAAGAAUUUGAGACAAAAUGGUUAGCUUUGAAGGAUAAGUGGUCGUUCAUUGCUGGAAGCCACUUUGAUAAGCUGUAUGAGUACCGGGCAACAUGGGUGCCAUGUUACUUCAAACACCGGUUUCCCCCUUCUUGCAGUCUACCCAGCGCAGCGAAGAAUUCAAUGCAGUUCUUAAGCAUUAUGUGA
rnacentral:rRNA from 1 species